GCCUUAUCAAGAGAGGUGGAGGGAGACGGCCCUGUGAAGCCCGGCAACCAGCGCCCAGGAGCGCCAGGUGCCAAUUCCGGCGAGGUCACUCGCAAGAUAAGGG
rnacentral:ncRNA from 2 species